GUAAUAUCUGUGGGAAAAGGCUGGUUUUUUUACAUUAGGCAAGACUUGUCCAGGCACCAGUUUAUUUUGUUCACCAGUCUGAGAUGUCUGCACAAUGCAUGAGUACACCACCCACCCAUGUUCAGUUUCAUCAUGGAGCUGUUUGAGAACAGUGUAGAUGUUGGUAAAACAUUUUCGAGGAGUCCGUUUGAGCUGCUACCGACCGAAUAAACCGGUCAUAGAGGUACGAGUUAUUCCAGGACAUCUUUUUUAGCUGAGUGUACCUCAGAAACCGACGACUGUCUCGUAAUGAGUAAACAUCCGAUCCAUUCUCACCGAUGUCAAAGGCGGAAAUCGUCAUUGAGCUCGCGGGGCAGUGUCACCCGGAGUCCCGUCUGCCAGGUCACACUUCCGGUUUGUCCGUCGCCCUCAACAAUUACACUUUUCGCUACACGAACGAACCGUUCACUACAGCUGCUGCAUGGCUACAACAUCUGCCAGAACGGGGGGGGGGGGAGGAAUAGCCUCAUUCGCCGUCCGAUCGAUUAGUUGUUCUAGGCAAGGGGGCGGGGUUUAGUUCACACGUCCACGCAGCCGAGCGGAUUCGCUUCCCCCUCCGAACGUUUCCGAUCUCGGCCGAUCUCCUGCAGCGGCGGAUGUGUGCUGCUGCCUUUCUUAUCUGCGUGUCCUCCUCGCCUCCACUCCGUCCAUCUCUGACAGCAUUUCCAACAUGGUGGACAUUUUGAUGUUGAUGUUUUUCGCCAUCAUUGGCCUCGUCUUCCUCUCCUACAUCAUCUACUUGCUGUGAUGAUGAUGAUGAUGAAGCGUCCUGCAGGAACGCAGGCGAUGCGUGUUUUAACCCUGUGCGACAUGGCUGGCUUCCAUCAUGGACAAUGGAGGAAAAGCCCAGUCCAGUAACAAUGGUUUCCCCAUGGAGGAUCUCCUGUAGGAGGGGCAGCAAUCCAGCUGAUAUAAACUAAUGGAGGAGAAGUGGAAGCCCACACUCGUCUCCCUCCUCCUCCUCCAUUGGGUCAGGAUCCUCCUAUGAAAUGUCACUGCUCCGAGAGCUCUCCCGCUUAUUUGCAAUCAGUCACACCAGUGUGUCCUCUGUGCUACUCCAGGUUGUGAUCGUCUCUCUUUAAAGCGGGAGACAUGUUACCUCUGCACAAGUCCUAUAAAUCCGUCAAUAUGGUUGCAGGGCGGUUUUGUAUGUUGAGCGUUAGAUAGGUGUAGUAUUUGCCUUUGUAGCAACACUGGGUUCACUUUCUGGUUCCAACUAUAACGUGUUAUGUUUGGUUGUUUGACAUUAUCAUCACGACUUGUGUGACCGACUCUUCUGUACUCAUGUUUUGCCUUCGUUGAGUAUGUGUGAUCACAUUACUGUAUUCACAUGUUGCCAAUGUGUUUUUCUCCCCACCUCUUAUCAAGAACUGUGUCUCUACCAAGGAGAUCGGUUCAGUUAUAUAACUGAGUGUUCUGUACAUUAACUGCGUUUGUCUGUCUUUGUUUAUAACGUUGGCUGCGAAUGACAUCACCGUGACGCAGUGAUGUCAUUUCACAGAUAUAUCAUCCAUGCGCUCCGACCAAAACCUCGUUUGAAUUGUGUUACCUGUCAAUGAUGUUACGUUUACUGAUGCACUGAUGGUUUACUGAGGUAUUACACACGACAUGUUUAAUAAAGAGGAUUUCAGUUAACCCAGUUUCACUUCAUUUUAAUGCAAUGUUAUUUGUGUUGUGGCUGACGUCUGUAAUCAUUCAUUUCUGCUGAAGAAAGCACUUCAGUGCUCAAAUCCGUGAGCUAUUUAGUAUUAUUACUGAAAAGUGACAUAAGGGAUAUAAUAUCGGG
ensembl:lncRNA